rnacentral:rRNA from 1 species
GUCUUUUUGAAAUAUUUAAUUUAAAGUCUGAUCUGCUCUAUGAUAAUUAAUUAAAUGGCCGCAGUAUUUUGACUGUGCAAAGGUAGCAUAAUAAUUAGCCUUUUAAUUUGAGGCUGGUAUGAAUGAUUUGAUGAAGUAUAAACUGUCUCUAAUUAAAUUUUAAUUUAAUUUAAUUUUUAAGUUAAAAAGCUUAAAUUUAUUUAAAGGACGAGAAGACCCUAUAGAGUUUUAUAUUUUAUAAAAUUUGAAAAUUUAAUUUAUUUUUAAAUUAAAUAAAUUAUUUUAUUGGGGCGAUAGAAAAAUUUAAUAAACUUUUUUAUUUAUUAAAACAUAGGUAAAUGAAUUUUUGAUCCUUAUUUUUAGAUUAUUAGAUUAAAUUACCUUAGGGAUAACAGCGUUAUUUUUUUUAAAGUUCUUAUUUAUAAGAAAGAUUGCGACCUCGAUGUUGGAUUAAAGUUAAUUUUAGGUGAAGAAGCUUAAAGUUUUAGGUCUGUUCGACCUUUAAAAUUUUACA